rnacentral:rRNA from 1 species
GACGAACGCUGGCGGCGUGCUUAACACAUGCAAGUCGAACGGAAAGGCCCUGCUUUUGUGGGGUGCUCGAGUGGCGAACGGGUGAGUAACACGUGAGUAACCUGCCCUUGACUUUGGGAUAACUUCAGGAAACUGGGGCUAAUACCGGAUAGGAGCUCCUGCUGCAUGGUGGGGGUUGGAAAGUUUCGGCGGUUGGGGAUGGACUCGCGGCUUAUCAGCUUGUUGGUGGGGUAGUGGCUUACCAAGGCUUUGACGGGUAGCCGGCCUGAGAGGGUGACCGGCCACAUUGGGACUGAGCUGCGGCCCAGACUCCUACGGGAGGCAGCAGUGGGGUAUAUUGCACAAUGGGCUGAAGCCUGAUGCAGCAACGCCGCGUGCGGGAUGACGGCCUUCGGGUUGUAAUCCGCUUUCGCCUGUGACGAAGCGUGAGUGACGGUAAUGGGUAAAGAAGCACCGGCUAACUACGUG